rnacentral:tRNA from 1 species
CAAGGAAUAGUUUAAGUAGAAUUUAGCUUUGGGUG